rnacentral:pre_miRNA from 17 species
CUCCCCGAGUUGCCUUCCCCCUGCCAUCCCACCGGUGACUUACAUGUUCACCGGUGGGAUGGCAGGGGGAAGGCAACUCGGGGAG